UACAGAGGUCUCAAGCGUUGUUCGGAAUUACUGGGCGUAAAGGGCUCGUAGGCGGCCAACUAAGUCAUACGUGAAAUCCCUCAGCUUAACUGGGGAACUGCGUGUGAUACUGGAUGGCUUGGAUUUGGGAGAGGGAUGCGGAAUUCCAGGUGUAGCGGUGAAAUGCGUAGAUAUCUGGAGGAACACCGGUGGCGAAGGCGGUUCUCUGGGCAUUACCUGACGCUGAGGAGCGAAAGUGUGGGGAGCGAACAGG
rnacentral:rRNA from 1 species